GUGAGGAAUAUUGGUCAAUGGGCGCAAGCCUGAACCAGCCAUCCCGCGUGAAGGACGACGGCCCUAUGGGUUGUAAACUUCUUUUGUACGGGAAGCACGUGCGCUAUGUAUAGCGUAUUGACGGUACCGUACGAAUAAGCAUCGGCUAACUCCGUGCCAGCAGCCGCGGUAAUACGGAGGAUGCGAGCGUUAUCCGGAUUCAUUGGGUUUAAAGGGUGCGUAGGCGGCCCGGUAAGUCAGCGGUGAAAGUUUGCGGCUCAACCGUAAAAUUGCCGUUGAUACUGUCGGGCUUGAGUUCAGAUGAAGUGGGCGGAAUGAGUAGUGUAGCGGUGAAAUGCUUAGAUAUUACUCAGAACACCGAUUGCGAAGGCAGCCCACUAAACUGCGACUGACGCUGAUGCACGAAAGCGUGGGGAUCGAACAGGAUUAGAUACCCGUGUAGUCC
rnacentral:rRNA from 1 species